rnacentral:rRNA from 1 species
UACGGGGGGGGCAAGCGUUGUUCGGAAUUACUGGGCGUAAAGGGCUUGUAGGUGGCCAACUAAGUCAGACGUGAAAUCCCUCGGCUUAACCGGGGAACUGCGUCUGAUACUGGAUGGCUGGAGUGUGGGAGAGGGAUGCGGAAUUCCAGGUGUAGCGGUGAAAUGCGUAGAUAUCGGGAAGAAUACCAGUGGCGAAGGCGGCCUUCUGGACGGAUACUGACGCUGAGGCGCGAAAGCCAGGGGAGCAAACGGG